UGCCAUUUGAAAACCAAACUUAACGAGUUUAGAGAGAGAAAAAGAGAAGAAGAGAGAGAAAGAAGAGAAAAGAGGCAGAAGAGUAGAGAGAAGAAGAGAGAAAGAAGAGAGGAGGCAGAAGAAUAGAGAGAAGAAGGGUUAGCGGUAGAGAGGGAGAUAGGACUGGUUUUUUCUUGCUCUCUUCUUAGUUCACUCUUCUCACAGUAGCAGAAACCCUAAUUUUUAAAUCCAUGUCCUUUUUUUAUUUUCUUCUGUUAUAUCCGGUCUUGGAGCUGUUGUUUUUUGGCAAAAUUUGGAAGAGGAGAUGGCAACAACGAGGAAUGUAGUGCCCCUAAUCAGAGGAUGGAAGAGGAGAUGGAAACAACCGGGAAUGUAGUGCCCCUAAUCAGAGGGUUAAAAUUUGGAAAUAUAUUUCAGUAUUUGAAAAGUCUGGAUGAUUACUUGCUAGCUUAUAUUGAGGUAUAUGAACAUUAUUCCUGGUUCUUACUAACCCUUGAAUUAUGGGAUUUUGUAUACUUGAAGUAGAUGUAGAAUGCCUAGCAGGUUCCGAUAGCUUAUUUUGUGACUUUAUAUCAGAGUCAUCUUUGCUAUUUAUUUUAAUUUUUCUAUUAUUAUCAAAUUGGAUUUCUAUUUCCCCAUCCGGGUGUUCUACAAUUUGAUUAGGCACGUAUAUGUACGCUGAUAUGUUUGUACACACACUCACAUGCAUGUGUAUAAAUGGUUUAUAUAUACACUAAUAUAUACGACCAUGUAUAUACUUAUUAUCACAAUUUGUAUACGUAUUGAUGUAUAACAAUACAUACCAAUGUUUUUAGUAUAAUUUUAUAUAUACUGAUGCAUAUUACCAUACAAUACAUUAGUUAUCAGCUAUAUAUACAAUUAUUAAUGUAUGAAAAAUACUUUGAUGCGUGUAUGUGUCUACGUGAUGUGUAUAUAUAUGAUGUGUAUAAACUG